rnacentral:rRNA from 2 species
UACGUAGGGACCAAGCGUUGUUCGGAUUUACUGGGCGUAAAGGGUGCGUAGGCGGCGCGUCAAGUCAGUUGUGAAAUCUUAAGGCUUAACCUUAAACGGUCAACUGAUACUGUCGUGCUAGAGUGCAGAAGGGGCAAUCGGAAUUCUUGGUGUAGCGGUGAAAUGCGUAGAUAUCAAGAGGAACACCUGAGGUGAAGACGGGUUGCUGGGCUGACACUGACGCUGAGGCACGAAAGCUAGGGUAGCAAACGGG